AUGAACGCUGGCGGCGUGCCUAAUACCUGCAAGUCGAGCGAACAGACGAGGAGCUUGCUCCUCUGACGUUAGCGGCGGACGGGUGAGUAACACGUGGAUAACCUACCUAUAAGACUGGGAUAACUUCGGGAAACCGGAGCUAAUACCGGAUAAUAUAUUGAACCGCAUGGUUCAAUAGUGAAAGACGGUUUUGCUGUCACUUAUAGAUGGAUCCGCGCCGCAUUAGCUAGUUGGUAAGGUAACGGCUUACCAAGGCAACGAUGCGUAGCCGACCUGAGAGGGUGAUCGGCCACACUGGAACUGAGACACGGUCCAGACGCCUACGGGAGGCAGCAGUAGGGAAUCUUCCGCAAUGGGCGAAAGCCUGACGGAGCAACGCCGCGUGAGUGAUGAAGGUCUUCGGAUCGUAAAACUCUGUUAUGAGGGAAGAACAAAUGUGUAAGUAACUAUGCACGUCUUGACGGUACCUAAUCAGAAAGCCACGGCUAACUACGUG
rnacentral:rRNA from 1 species